GAAAAGAAAGAAAAACAAAGGAGUCUGCAUACACUGUGAAAGUAGAAGCUCUUCAUUAAAGUAGACUGUUUCAUGUUAAUGUAUUAAAUCAUUUUGGCACUUCACAAAACAAACAUUUAAUUGGAAAACCUGUUAGGCACCCAAGCACCAAUUACAUCUGAAAUGAUAACAUUUAAGAAAUUAAAACAUUUGUUUGAUUAGCUUUAUGAGAAGGAGUGGAGUAUACCAACCUAGGUAAUCAUUUAAUAGACAUUUAUUUUCAAUUAGAUCAAUCUUCUUCCGUAAAUUGAUUUAACAUUUCAACUCAAUUAAAAAGCCACCGGUUGAACUAAAGUACUUUGUUCAAAUUAAUUUGUUAUGACAUUUUCAGUAUAAGACUUGGUGCCUGAUACGAUGAAAGAAAACAAAGAGAAUUGUCUCAAAUGUCCAACUGCCUCCAGGGCUUACUGUGCUGAAGCUCCCAGUGUGACCGCAAAUGAAUAGAAAAUAUAUAGGGGAGGGGAAAAGCAAGAAAAUUCUAAAUGAGAAAAGAAAACGAGUUGAAUUUGAGUAUAAUUCUAAGGUUUAUAUAAUGUAAAUAUCCCUACUUAUUUGAACACUGUUACCCCAAAUUUUAGAAAGAGAUUUUUAGAGAGGAGGAACCAUGUGGGUAGAGCUAGCUGUGCUUGUUUGUUAAUUAAGAAACACCCUCUAAUCAAGAAGCAAUAACGAAAAGCAAUUUAAUAAUUACAUAUUGUAAAAUUGUCAUGGUAGUAUCUUCAUGGAGAUUUGUGAAGAUAUGUGUAUAUAUCUUUAAAAACAGAGAACGUGAAUAUAGAGGGAAUCUCACAGAGGGACAUAGUAAAGGAUAAUUCAAUAGAGAAACAGUGCCAUCUAGUGGAUCACUGAAGUAAGAUUGAGAGGUCUCGGCUCAAUUAGGGUACUGACCAAGAUCUCCCUUCUAUUAUUUAAUGCAUGGUUCAUAGCAUGCAUACCGUGUUAUUCUCCCAACAUGAUUCGUUUUCUUUUAUCAUUUAGCAAUCAAACAAAACGUUAUACAGUGACACAGUCAUUUUGUAAAAGUCUCCACAAAGGUUUGCCCUGGUUACUGUAACAAUACUGUUGCAACACUGGACCUGAGCCGAUCCUCAAAGUUUUUGAUUUUCACAACAGAUGCAAAUAUGAAUGUGACUUAAACAGUCGUCCAUGUGGAUGUUUCUUCACCUUGAAAUGAUCAUAGUAGCAACCAUUAUUAUGGAUUCCAUAAUUCAACACUGACUUACUGUCGGUAAUUUUGUGCCAGGUUCCAUAAACGUAAGAAAAGAACCCCCCCGAAAGAUGUUCAGGUACCGUGAUGAAGUAACAACAGUUUUAUAUAAAUGUUCAGGUACCGUGAUGAAGUAACAACAGUUGUAUAUAAAUGUUCAGGUACCGUGAUGAAGUAACAACAGUUUUAUAUAAAUGUUCAGGUACCGUGAUGAAGUAACAACAGUUGUAUAUAAAUGUUCAGGUACCGUGAUGAAGUAACAACAGUUUUAUAUAAAUGUUCAGGUACCGUGAUGAAGUAACAACAGUUUUAUAUAAAUGUUCAGGUACCGUGAUGAAGUAACAACAGUUUUAUAUAAAUGUUCAGGUACCGUGAUGAAGUAACAACAGUUUUAUAUAAAUGUUCAGGUACCGUGAUGAAGUAACAACAGUUGUAUAUAAAUGUUCAGGUACCGUGAUGAAGUAACAACAGUUUUAUAUAAAUGUUCAGGUACCGUGAUGAAGUAACAACAGUUGUAUAUAAAUGUUCAGGUACCGUGAUGAAGUAACAACAGUUUUAUAUAAAUGUUCAGGUACCGUGAUGAAGUAACAACAGUUGUAUAUAAAUGUUCAGGUACCGUGAUGAAGUAACAACAGUUGUAUAUAAAUGUUCAGGUACCGUGAUGAAGUAACAACAGUUUUAUAUAAAUGUUCAGGUACCGUGAUGAAGUAACAACAGUUUUAUAUAAAUGUUCAGGUACCGUGAUGAAGUAACAACAGUUUUAUAUAAAUGUUCAGGUACCGUGAUGAAGUAACAACAGUUUUAUAUAAAUGUUCAGGUACCGUGAUGAAGUAACAACAGUUUUAUAUAAAUGUUCAGGUACCGUGAUGAAGUAACAACAGUUGUAUAUAAAUGUUCAGGUACCGUGAUGAAGUAACAACAGUUUUAUAUAAAUGCAUUGAUGUAUGUGUGGUGCAACGUCCUUUUGAUAUUACAGUAAACACUGCAAGCACAUCUAGCCUCAGCUGGGUCUGGUAGACAAAGCCGGGAGCAAAACACCAGAGAGCUGAACACAAUAGGAGCAAAGCGGUGUCACUGGGAUGGUUAUUAUGCUUCAUCUUCCAUUUCUUACUCCAAGAUAUGGGCUCUUUGGCACGCUCACACUGGGAGGGCGUAGGGAGCACAGGAAGGCAAACUUGAGAAUGGAAGAGGCUGACUUUAGGCUGCCCUUCAGACAGCCACUCCUUGGCAUAGUUUUGUGUGAUCACCGGUAAAUCUUUAUUAAUUUUAAUUGGAGCCCCCAUUUAAAAGAGCAAUUAACGCGGAUUAAUCGAGCCCAUCCCGUAUAAUGUCUUCUGUUAAUUAGUUUGUCAGCACUGUUUUAAUAUCGUCUAAUGACUUCAUAUUUCAGGGAUGACAUUAAAGAGAUGCUGAAGGAAAAGAAAUGGCCUUAUCAGAAUGCCGAGCUUUAAUGGUUGAUGUACCCCGCCGCCAGGCAAGGUCAGGGCUCUGUGGCCACUGGGGAGGUAGGGCAGCCUGCAGAGUGGCACCAGGGACAAUGCUCUGCCUCACUCACUCUCUCCCCCACUCUCUCCCUCACAAAGUUAUACAGCCCUGAGAGAACUGGACUCCACUUGGAUUAGCAUGACAGCUGGAUUAGUUACUGAGGGAAAUGACAAAAUAAUAGCAAACUGCUCUCUGGUUUGGUGUUCUGAAAUGUUGACAAUUGUUGUAGUAACUUCUGGUAUGGAAGAACAUUACCCCCUAUAUGGUGUGAUGGUGUCCUACUUGACCUCCCACCUCUCAUCCUAUGAGAAAGCCUAGCAGACAAUAGGGGUUGAAGGUCAUGUCCUCUGCCCCACCUGUUUUAGGGUAAACAAACCAAGGCUCAGGAUCAGAGAGGGAGGGAGAUACUGUAGCCCUAUCUCUCUCUUCAUCUGUUUAUCCAUCUGAGAAAACACCAUAUGUAAUUGUUCUCUGUUCCUCACCCCCUCUACAGCCGAGAGCCACUGCUUGUGAGUCGUGAAUAAUAGCUUCACGGAUAACUCAAUGGAUUCGUUAUGAGUGGAAUAAGUAUUGGGCUCUUCUCUCUUUGUCACUAUGGCCAGGAUGAUCACCAUACAUCAGUGUUAGAUAACAAAGGCCUGCAGUGGGACAUGGUAAUAACGGAGGUUUCAAAUGGUUAUAUGAUAAUCCACCUCAAGAAGGAAGGAUGUAAAUUCAUCGUAGACACUUUCCAUUUGAAGUGGUUUGUCAUAUAACCCUGGUUAUUUUAUGUUAAUCAACACAUUUAACUUGGUCCCACCAGCAUGAGGUUUCACAAAAUAGACACAGAGAGAUUGACAGACCGAGUGAAGUUGAUCAAAAAAAACAACACUGCAAAAAGCUCACCCAGUUUAUUGCGGCUCUGGCGUGCAUCCCUGCUAAUUUGAGUGUGCCCUCGCACCUCCACUCUCCUCGGCAGAUUCAUAAAUCUCAUUCCCAUUAUCCCGCUAAUUAGCCGGGAUUACAGGAGCAUGUAAUGCCCCCGCUUCCCAAUAGAUGGAUUGGAGGACGGUCUCUUUGUUUUGAAAUCACUUCCUGAUUGAUGUACAGACUCCUAGUUUGCAAUUGUAAUGGCCCAGAUGUUAACAAUCAAAUGCGUUUACGCUCCAGGAAGUAACAGUCUGUCAUGGAAGAGGAGCCAGCCAGGCGUGUAACGACACAUCACAGGAGUGUGGGGAAGAAGGGACUGGGAAGAGAGGGGGAGGGCGGUGGGGCUAGCGCAUGCCCCUGCCCGUCAUUGAGUGCUCUGUUCUUCCCACCAUAAUACCACGCAGGUCCUGGUGUUGAUUGGGCCAUCAGGCUACACUGAUGUGGCCAACCCGGAGGAUUCCUCAGUCAAAUAUUGAUCUCUGAAGCGCUUGUGAGAAACGCAGAGAGACUGUUUUUCAUUAUGAUUUUGCAUAACCACUCAUG